AUUGAACGCUGGCGGCAGGCCUAACACAUGCAAGUCGAACGAGUGGCGGAAGGGUGAGUAAUGUCUGGGAAACUGCCUGCUGGAGGGGGAUAACUACUGGAAACGGUAGCUACUACCGCAUACCAUCAGCUGUGCCCAGAUGGCAUUAGCUUGUUGGUGGGGUAACGGUUCACCAAGGCGACGAUCCCUAGCUGGUCUGAGAGGAUGACCAGCCACACUGGAACUGAGAUACGGUCCAGACUCAUACGGGAGGCAGCAGUGUGGAAUAUUGUACAAUGGGCGCAAGUCUGAUGAAGCCAUGCCGCGUGUAGGAAGAAGGCAUUCGGGUUGUAAAGUACUGUCAUCGGGGAGGCGUUACCCGCAGAAGAAGCACCGGCUAACUCCGUGCCAGCAGCCGCGGUAAUAC
rnacentral:rRNA from 1 species